AUUGAACGCUGGCGGCAUGCCUUACACAUGCAAGUCGAACGGCAGCACGGGGGCAACCCUGGUGGCGAGUGGCGAACGGGUGAGUAACAUAUCGGAACGUGCCCUGGAGUGGGGGAUAACUAGUCGAAAGAUUAGCUAAUACCGCAUACGAUCUACGGAUGAAAGUGGGGGAUCGCAAGACCUCAUGCUCGUGGAGCGGCCGAUAUCUGAUUAGCUAGUUGGUGGGGUAAAGGCCUACCAAGGCAUCGAUCAGUAGCUGGUCUGAGAGGACGACCAGCCACACUGGGACUGAGACACGGCCCAGACUCCUACGGGAGGCAGCAGUGGGGAAUUUUGGACAAUGGGCGCAAGCCUGAUCCAGCAAUGCCGCGUGAGUGAAGAAGGCCUUCGGGUUGUAAAGCUCUUUUGUCAGGGAAGAAACGGUGAGGGCUAAUAUCCCUUGCUAAUGACGGUACCUGAAGAAUAAGCACCGGCUAACUACGUGCCAGCAGCCGCGGUAAUACGUAGGGUGCAAGCGUUAAUCGGAAUUACUGGGCGUAAAGCGUGCGCAGGCGGUUGUGCAAGACCGAUGUGAAAUCCCCGGGCUUAACCUGGGAAUGGCAUUGGUGACUGCACGGCUAGAGUGUGUCAGAGGGGGGUAGAAUUCCACGUGUAGCAGUGAAAUGCGUAGAGAUGUGGAGGAAUGCCGAUGGCGAAGGCAGCCCCCUGGGAUAACACUGACGCUCAUGCACGAAAGCGUGGGGAGCAAACAGGAUUAGAUACCCUGGUAGUCCACGCCCUAAACGAUGUCGACUAGUUGUCGGGUCUUAAUUGACUUGGUAACGCAGCUAACGCGUGAAGUUGACCGCCUGGGGAGUACGGUCGCAAGAUUAAAACUCAAAGGAAUUGACGGGGACCCGCACAAGCGGUGGAUGAUGUGGAUUAAUUCGAUGCAGCGCGAAAAACCUUACCUACCCUUGACAUGGCAGGAAUCCUUGAGAGAUCAGGGAGUGCUCGAAAGAGAACCUGCACACAGGUGCUGCAUGGCUGUCGUCAGCUCGUGUCGUGAGAUGUUGGGUUAAGUCCCGCAACGAGCGCAACCCUUGUCAUUAGUUGCUACGAAAGGGCACUCUAAUGAGACUGCCGGUGACAAACCGGAGGAAGGUGGGGAUGACGUCAAGUCCUCAUGGCCCUUAUGGGUAGGGCUUCACACGUCAUACAAUGGUACAUACAGAGGGCCGCCAACCCGCGAGGGGGAGCUAAUCCCAGAAAGUGUAUCGUAGUCCGGAUUGCAGUCUGCAACUCGACUGCAUGAAGUUGGAAUCGCUAGUAAUCGCGGAUCAGCAUGUCGCGGUGAAUACGUUCCCGGGUCU
rnacentral:rRNA from 1 species